GCCUUUCAUCCUUUCGGGGUCAAUUAAAUAAGUACCAGUUGUGCACUGGGUCGAUAUAAUCGACUUAAUCCUUUUGUAUGUCCUUGUUUGUCCCCUGUGUUUAGCCCCUUGUGUGCAAUAAAAUAAGAUUGAACUAUGAGGCUUAUAUAACACCUCUAGGAUAGGUUGCAUGUCUUAGUUCAACUUAACACUCAUCUAGACCAAUAUGUAAUUUUGUUGGCUUCACCACACUCUGCUCUCUAACUAUAGAACUACAGACACUGUCUCCUUGCUUUGCUUCUUCUAUUGUUUCUACAAUAAUCUCUGCUUUCCACAGCUUUUUAGCUAAUGUACCACUGCCGGCCAAGUCUACCCAUCAAAAACCAUGUCUUCUUAUGUUAUUCCAGUCUAUGUAUCUCACAUCUUCUGAAUCUCUCGUUUAAUCUCUUACUUGAGUUCUUCCUUCUCAGGACCUCAUCUCAAUAGAAUUCUCUGCCUGCCUAUGUUUUUUUUUUCUGUUAUAGACAGGCAUUUACUUGCAGCUAUUUAAGCUGAACAUUUGCCAUGUCACCGUGACCAGUCUCAGAACUGUGAUGGUCAUGGACACAGAGGUGGGGGAUGAGAGAGAGAGAGAAUCACCUCUUUCUUCAAUCCAGGCAACCAUGUUUCUAAACUUCUACAAUGAUGCAGUUUUGUCAAAGAAGAAAAGGAAACGGCUGCCUGUCAGAGUGAGAAUAAGUGGUGAGGGUGGAAGUGGGGAAGGGCUUGAAAAGGAGACCCCACCCCAUAUGCACUCACGUUAUUACAGCCCCAUUACUGUCACCAUUAGUAGCAGCAUCCGUGAUCACAGCCCUCAUCUCUUCUUGUAAGACAGCUGCAAGUCUGAGAAACACAUUCAUUCCCCACUUUCUGACUGAAACAUAAAGAAAACAAAAUGGAACAAAACAAAACAUGUGGUUAAGAAGUUUACUUUGCAACCAUUUAAUUCUGGGUUCAAUCACUGAGCAGAGCCUUCAGUUGACCAAUGCCUUUUUGAAAGGAAUUAAAGAAUUCAAGAGAUGGGGAUUCUGUGUGGGGUUAUGGUGUUAUAAAAUGGUGUGUUGAGUUGGAUUUCUCUUGCGCCAAAAAUGACUUAGCCAUUCAAUACACAGUGAUUGAUAAAAGGGGUCAUAGCUUGAUAUAAGUAUAGAAGUCAAUAUAACUGAAACCCUUGAAGGCAAUGCUCCAGCAUGGGCACAAUACAAUGACUGAAGUCUACAUUUGGAUAAAAAUAAAUUUUCCACUGUCUUUCAGUAGUAGUAAUAAUAAUAAUAAUAAUAAUGAUAAUUCUUCCUACUAUAGGUUCAAGGCCUGGAAUUUUUAAGGGGGAGCUGAUUAUAUUGGUCCCAGCACUCAACUGGUACUUAUUUCAUCAACCCCUGAGAAGAUGAAAGGUAAAGCUGAUUCUUGGCAGAAUUUGAACUCAGAACAUAAAGAUGGGUGAAAUGCUGCUAAGCAUUUUGUCCAGUGGGCUAAUGAUUCUGCUAGCUUGCAGCCUUAAAUAAUAAUAAUAAUAAUAAUAAUAAUAAUAAUAAUACACACACACAUACACGCUGCAACAUACAACCAUAAGAAAUAACCACAGAGCAAUGUGUGUAUGUGUGUGUGUAUAUAUAUAUAUAUAUAUAUAUAUAUAUAUAUGGUGUCUCCUGUUGAAGACGAUAUGUAUGAGUAUUCAGUGUUUGCUGAAUGACCUUCACAAACGAUUUGUUGAUAGUGACCAAAUAUAUUUAUUGUGCAUCAGCUCACUACCUCCAUCAAGUCAACAUUGCUUGUACAGGUGCACAAGUGCACCUCACAUCAGAUGUUGAAGUGAUCACACGUCAGAUGUUGAAGUGAUCACACGUCAGAUGUUGAAGUGCUCAAGAACACAGCAUGCUGCCUGGCCAAAGAAUCGAACUAGUGAUUGUGAGUGCUGCACCCUAACAACUUGGCCAUGUGCCUUCACACACACACACACUUUUGGGUAUAUAGCAUGCUUGUCAAGCCAGGUGAGAUUGUAGUCAUGGCCGAUGCCAGUGUUACGUAACUGGCACCUGUGCCAGUGACAUAUAAGAAGUAUCCACUGUGUACUUGGAGUAGUUUGCAUUAAGAAGGGCAUCCAGCUGUAGAAACCAGGCCAAAUCAGAUUGGCACCUGGUGCAGCUCUCCAGCUUACCAGUUUUCAAUCAAACUGUAACCCAUGCUAGCAUGGAAAACGGAUAUUAAUUGAUGAUGAGGUUGAUUUUUGCCUUUCUUCCUUUUAGGGCUGUUAAAAUUAAGUACCAGUUAAGUAGUGGGGGCCAAUGGUAUUGACUAACCCCCUCUGCUCAAAUUGGUAGCCUUAUCCCAAAAUUUAAAGCCAUUUAUUAGUUUCUAAUAAAAUAUUCUCUCAUUCUAAGAUUUUUGCCUGAUAUGUAAAAUAUUUAAAAUAUUUAAAAUAUUUCUGUGGUAAAAUAGUCUGAAGAAGCAGUUUAUUCAGUGAAGCUUAUAAAUACUGUUAAAUGGUUUCGUCUUUUCAUCAUAUACAUAUAUAUGUAUAUAAACAAAAAAAAAUUUUGUGUGAGUGUAUAUAUCUAUGUGCGCGUAUGUGUGUGUGUAUUUUUUCUCUGAAUGUCUAACAAAUAAUUUUGAUCAUGAACUUGUCCUGUCUUUUUUUUUUUAAGUUCUCUCCCUCCAUUUCUCCUUCUCUGUUUCUCUCUCUCUCUCUCUCUCUCUCUCUUGCACCCUCCCACCCCUACAUACACAUUUAUAUGUGUUUAUGUUUGUAUGAGAGUUUGUUUGCAGAACAAAAAUUUAAAAAAACAAACUUAAUGCCAAGUUAGGAUAGUAGAGUAUAAUAUACAUAUGUAACUAAAUAUGUUGAUUACUAAACCAGAUAAAACACACAUGCACACACACACACACACACACGCACACACACACACACACACACGCGCUGUGUAACUGUAUAUGUUGAUUUUCUUAGUUAUAAUAAAUGUGUGUAUGUGCGUUUAUAUAUAUGUGUGUAUGUGCGUUUAUAUAUGUAUAUGUGCGUAUGUUUAUAUAGUAACUCAAAAAUAUAUUUAACUAUAAUCAUUUCGGUUGAGCGAUCUAGAUGAUCAAAUCACCAAUGUUGAUGUAGAUGUUUUUCUAUGACUAGAUGUGUGUGUGUGUGUCCGUAGGUGUAUGUUGUGUUCCUUAUGUGCAUAUGAUUGUAUUUCUAUGUGUGUGUGUGAGGAAGUAUGAAAAUGAUUGUGUUGCAAAAAAAGCUGUUCCUUCGUGUAAUUUACAUUCACGAGUUAUUUUAUAUUUAUAUUUAUCUGGUUCAUACAUCUUUGGUUUGGUUAAGGAUUUGGUAAACCAUCAUCAGCUGGUAACAAUAUCACCGGAUGUUUCAUCUUCAUGGUGUGUAUCAAGGUGACCCUUUGUCUCCUGGCAAAUGGCCUAGUGGUCUUGAAGCCAGUGCUUAUUUGAUGUAGGACAUAGACUGUGGCAUACUUCAGCCCUGUUAGAAGGGAAUUAUGUCAAUCUGGUUCUGUGGUUAAGAAGUUUGUUCUUUGCUUUCAAACCAUAUGGCUUUGGGUUCAGUCUCACUGUAUGGCGCCUUGGGCAAAUGUCCCCUACUGUUGUCCAGGAUCAACCAAAGACUUGUCAGAGGAUUUUGGAGAUGGAAACUGAAAGAAACUCAUUUUAUGUGUGUGUUUGUGUCUUGCGAUGUUGCCUGAUGCUUUAAAAAAACCCAAAAAACCUGGCACUUGAUUGGUCGUAACAUUGAGGGUUUCAGUUGAUCCAAUUAAUGGAACAGCCUGCCCAUGAAGUUGAUGUGUAAGUGGCUGAGUACUCCACAGACUUGCACACUCUUAAUGUUGUUCUCAGGGAGAUUCAAUGUAGCACAGAAUGUGGCACAACUGGCACUUUGAGUUAUAGGUACUACUCAUUUUUGCCAGCUGAGUUAACUGGAAGAAUGUGGAAUAAGGCAUACCUUGCUCAAGGACACAGCAUACCACUGAGAAUGGAACUCAUGACCUUCUGAUCAUGAGCUGAAUACCCUAACCACUUAGCCAUGCGCCUUCACGAUACUUGUAAACGAGUGUUACUGUCAUAUAAGCUGUGCCCUUCAUAUCUAGUUUCCCAUGAAAAAGUGUCCAGUCACGAAGAAAUACCACCUUGCUUGGAAACUAGUGAGAGUUGGUUACAGAAAGGGUGUUUAGCCAUAGAAAGUCUGCCUUGAAGAAUUCCAUCUGACCCAUGCAAGCAUUGAAAAGUGGAUGUCAAAAUAGUGAUGUUGAUGAUGAUGAGUUAAGUAGAUUGGGUCAUUAGGAGGUCAUGAAAUAAAAGAACAUGUACCCAGGGCAAACAUGAGUCCUGAUGGCUUGUACUGCUCAAAAGCAUCAUGACAUACAACUUUACUACCUUGUUUGUUACUUUGUCUUUCCUGCUACAAAGAAUUACUGGCUUUCUUCGACUCUAUUGAAUUUAUUUUGUUGUGGUGGGGUGUCUGGGACAUUAAAAAUUAACUCCUUAGCAUUCAAAUCACUCUGUCGAAUGUAAUGCAGAUUUAUUCAUUUUGUUCUGAAUUAAUAAUGCAUUUUCUCAUAGCUUUGAAAUUUCAAUGAUGUGAUUGUUUAUUUUCACAGUGACAUUGUAGGAUAAGUGGGAGAGGCUGGAUCUGGCCAAUUUGAACAUAAAGUAAGCAGAAUAUUUGAGCCAGUUAUGACUAGUUUAAAGGCUAAAGUGCUGAAUAUCUUGACCAUGGAUAGAAUGCCUUAGUAACAGGAUAUGAAAUUGGCAAUUUUUUUGAUAGGCUAUCAUCAUGAUAAUCUGUAGCUCUUUUGUAGUUCAUUCUAACAUAUACAUACACAUGUAUUCAUAUAUUGUGGUUUGUCUGUAUAAAUCGAUAUUAGUUCAUUGCUGACAAGACUUAUUUAACAAGAAUUUUGUGAGCUGUUUGGACAGCAUUUGAACAUAUACAUGUCAUGUUAAAUAAGCCUCUUCUCUCUCAUACACUUCAUUUGAGCAUAUAUAUGUGUCAUGUUAGAUAAACGUUUUCACUUUCGUACACUUGUUACCAUCAUUAAUCUUACUGUUGCCGUUCAUUCUUCAGUUUACUCAACUGUAACUGUUCAUUAAAUUAAUUCUGGCUUCCUACCAUAUGAAUCGUUAAGAUGUGGUUUAAAAUUGGAACAUAAUUCAACUGUAUCUAAUUGAAUAAUACAACAGCUACCAAGAUUUCAUUGAUUACCUGAUAUCUUCAUAUUCACUGCAUAUUACAUUGUAUCACCUUAUAUAACACAAGCGUAUCUGUGCCACGAAAAAUAUAUGACAACUGUCUUUAGAUGUAAAUAACUUGAGUUUAAUUUGUGAUUCUUUAGACGAAGUUUUCUUGAUAAAAUACGUAAAUUCCACGUUUCUCUCAUUUUCUUUAAAGUUUCGAGCAGUCAACUAAUGAUGUCUUUUCUCUAGAUUGGUGAAGUUUCUAAAUUAUAGAAAAUGAAUUGGGUCCAAGAAUUUUUGGAUGGUUUUAGUUCAGUCUCACUGCACAACAAUUUGGGCAACUGUCUUUUACUAUAAGCCUUGGAUCGACUAAAGUCUUGCAAGUGGGUUCUGUAGAUGGAAACUGGUAAAAGCUUACUGAUCUGUGUGUGUGUAUGUGUGUGUGCAUGCGUGCCCUCUUUGACUUGAUGUCAUGUGGAUUCUAAAUGAGUGUUACUGUCAUACAAGUGAUGUCAUUUUGUGAAAAAUAUGUCUGGUUGUGGGGAAAUAUUUCCUCCUAAAAAACAGGAAGGGCAUCCAGCUAUAAAAAAAUAUGCUGCAAUGAAUUUUUUUCUGACCCAUGCCGGCAUGGAAAAGUGGAUGUUAUAACGAUGAUGAUGAUGGUUGAGAAUUUACAUUAAUAUCUCUCUUUUAAAAUUAUAUGUCUUGCAGGUUGGCAGAUUUAGCAGAGCAAUUAACAAGUAUUUAGGUAUCUUAUUUUGAAUUCUAAUUUGAACCUCUACCUGAGUUGACUUUGUCUUUCAUCCUUCUAGAGUAGAUAAAACAAAGAACCAACAAAUUACUAGGGUUGAUGUAGUAGACCAUACCUGUCUGUUCAAAUUUGUGGAGACAGUGGAGGAUUGGGGAUGUUUUUUUCUGUUACUAGAAAUAACAGCCAAAUUCCCUUUGCAUCAUACUCCACUGUCAAAAAAGGCUUACUAGUUAUGCUGGAAAUGCUUUUGUAGUGUGCUGAAUCAGGGUUGUCUGGGGCUAAAUAUCAACUUAAAUUUUUCACCUUUGGCCUUCAUUAGGAAUCAAACUUUUUAGAUUUAUAAUUAAAUCUUGUUGAAGUUCAUUAACAAAAAAAAUAUAUCCUUAUUAAUAAUUAACAUCACUUUCCUACUUCUAUAUUACCAUCAUCAUUUAACAUCUGUUUUCCAUGUUGCUAUGGGCUGGCCGGUUUGACAGGAGUCGAUGAGCCAGAGAACUGAGCCAAAUUCCAAUGUCUGUGUUGGCAUGGUUUCUGCGGCUGGAUGCCCUUCUUAACACCAGCCACUUCACAGAGUCCAGUGAUGUGACUUCCUUCCACCGGAUGUUUAACCACAAACAGCAACCAAAAUUUACAGAGACACUAAUUGUUUUCUAUUAACGAGAUAUUAAUAAUCAGUUAACCCUUUCAUUACUGUAUUUAUUUUGAGAUGCUCUGCGUUUCUUUCAAUUAUUUUAGAUAUAACAAAGAAUUAAGUAAAAUAACUUGGUUAUCAUUAAGCUAGUGUUAGGAACAUAAAUUGUGACUAAGGUUUGAUGGAAGAUUUUAAUUCAAAACUUAUGAAAAUAAGACAUUUGUACUACAAAGCCAGAGCCGGUUUCAGCCGGGUUGAUACCAAAAGGGUUAAUCUAGGUUUUGUUUCUUCAUUCAGCAUCUUGUUAACUCGCUUCGACACCAGUCUACCUGUGACAGGCCCUGGUUCUAUGUUUCUAACUUUCUAUUUUAAAGUGAUCGAAACAAAAAAAAAAAAAAAAAGAAAACCCAAAACAAACUUCCCAUUAAAAUUUUAUGUUAAUUUAUAAUCCAAACUUAAUCUUAA